AUCUAUAAAUGCUGCGUCGUUUUGCUUCUCCUCUGCGGCAUCGUUUUGGCGGUGCAUUGACUUGCUUUUGCUUCCCUCCUGCGACGUCGUUUAGCUUUGGGAGUAUAUAAUAUCUCUUCACGCCCCCCUCAAGAUGGAGUUGCCCUAAUUUUGGGGAAACCCAUCUUGGACAGAAGGGUUUGAAAUUGCGCCGCUCCUAAGGGUUUUGUGAAGAGAUCCGCGAUUUGUUGCCGUGAAGGUACGUGCACCGUAGAUAUGAAACCUCUGGAGAGUUGCUCGCGGACGAUGUGGCAGUCGAUAUCCAGAUGUUUCGUUCGUUCGUGGAAAACUGGGUUGGCCGCGAUGUGUUGGGCUGCUUGGUUGUCACAGUGAAGAGGAAUAGGGAGGUGCAGAUCGGCAUGAAACUCUUUCAUCAGGAUAUUAAGGAUGGUCCGAGGAAUAUACAAAAGCCUGUAAGAGAUUUCCGGGUCAUCGGACAGGAAGCCCAGUCAGCGUCAGAGAAAGCUUGAAUCUUGAGGUCGCUCUGAGCUGGGAAGAACAACCCUCGUGUUGGACAACUUUUCAGAUAGCGAAGCACGUGAAGUGCUGCGUUCCAGUGAGGUUGACGCGGCUGUUGCAUGAACUGGCUGAGGUGCUGUGUCGCAUAGGAGAUGUCUGGCCUUGUGACUCCGAGAAAUAAUCCAGUUUCAGAACGCGCAAUUUGCAAGCCUAGAAAAUACUUGACGUACCCCAAAUCCUUGAUUGUAAAGGCUUUGUCAAGGCAAUGAUCAAAAGGUGAUUGUUUGAAGCCAAACUGGGUUAAGCAUUGGGUAAUUGUUGCCAUUUAAAGGAGAACUGACAAGAAUCAUGCUGGGGGAAUCAGAGUUCUGCAGCUUAAUCAUCUUGUCGUCCUUCUCUGCUUUCCCAGAAUAUUCUGGGUUCCCUUGGAACAGAUUACAUCCACAGGAAACGGUGCCGUUUUGAAUCUAUAAAUGCUGCGUCGUUUUGCUUCUCCUCUGCGGCAUCGUUUUGGCGGUGCAUUGACUUGCUUUUGCUUCCCUCCUGCGACGUCGUUUAGCUUUGGGAGUAUAUAAUAUCUCUUCAG